GACGAACGCUGGCGGCGCGCUUAACACAUGCAAGUCGAGCGAUGAAAUUUCGACAGAUCCCUUCGGGGUGAAGAUGAAAUGGAUUAGCGGCGGACGGGUGAGUAACACGUGAGUAACCUGCCUUUGACAUUGGGAUAGCCUCGGGAAACUGGGAUUAAUACCAAAUGACACUAACUGAUCACAUGAUCAAUUAGUCAAAGAAAUUCGGUCAAAGAUGGACUCGCGGCUGAUUAGCUAGUUGGUGAGGUAACGGCCCACCAAGGCGACGAUCAGUAGCCGGCCUGAGAGGGGGAUCGGCCACAUUGGAACUGAGACACGGUCCAAACUCCUACGGGAGGCAGCAGUGGGGAAUAUUGCACAAUGGGGGAAACCCUGAUGCAGCGACGCCGCGUGAGCGAAGAAGGCCUUCGGGUCGUAAAGCUCUUUUAUGAGGGAAGAUAAUGACGGUACCUCAAGAAAAAGCCCCGGCUAACUACGUG
rnacentral:rRNA from 1 species